AUUGAACGCUGGCGGUAGGCCUAACACAUGCAAGUCGAACGCGAAAGUCCUUCGGGAUGAGUAUAGUGGCGGGCGGGCGAGUAACGCGUAGGAAUCUAUCCUGUAGUGGGGGAUAACGUAUUGAAAGGAACUCUAAUACCGCAUACGCCCCAAGGGGGAAAGCGGGGGAUCUUCGGCCCUCGUGCUAUAGUCCGCGCCUGCGUCGGAUUAGCUAUUUGGUGAGGUAAAGGCUCACCAAGGCGACGAUCCGUAGCUGGUCUGAGAGGAUGAUCAGCCACACCGGAACUGAGACACGGUCCGGACUCCUACGGGAGGCAGCAGUGGGGAAUAUUGCGCAAUGGGCGAAAGCCUGACGCAGCCAUACCGCGUGUGUGAAGAAGGCCUUCGGGUUGUAAAGCACUUUCAGUGGGGAGGAAAAGCUGGUGGCUAAUAUCCAUCGGCCGUGACGCUACCCACAGAAGAAGCACCGGCUAAUUCCGUGCCAGCCGCCGCCGUAAAAC
rnacentral:rRNA from 1 species